rnacentral:rRNA from 1 species
AGCGAACGCUGGCGGCAGGCCUAACACAUGCAAGUCGAACGAACCUUUCGGGGUUAGUGGCGGACGGGUGAGUAACACGUGGGAACGUGCCUUUAGGUUCGGAAUAACUCAGGGAAACUUGUGCUAAUACCGAAUGUGCCCUUCGGGGGAAAGAUUAAUCGCCUUUGGAGCGGCCCGCGGCCGAUUAACUAGUUGGUUGAGGUAAUGGCUCACCAAGGCGAAGAUCCGUAACUGGUCUGAGAGGCUGAUAGGUCACAUUGGAACUGAGACACGGCCCAAACUGGUAGAGGAGGCAGAGGGAGGGAAUAGGGAUAAAGGGAGGGAAAUCGGAGGAAGCGAAUACGCGUGAGAGAUGAAGGAAGUCGUUGCGUAAAGCUCUGUGAUAUGGGAAGAAAAGGACUGUACCAUAGGAGAAAGCCCCGGAUAAAUACGGG